rnacentral:rRNA from 1 species
AGAGUUUGAUCCUGGCUCAGAGUGAACGCUGCGGCAGGCCUAAUACAUGCAAGUCGAACGGCAGCACAGCAGAGCUUGCUCUGUGGGUGGCGAGUGGCGGACGGGUGAGGAAUACGUGGGAAUCUGCCCAGUCGUGGGGAUAACGUAGGGAAACUUACGCUAAUACCGCAUGCGCCCUUCGGGGGAAAGCCGGGGACCUUCGGGCCUGGCGCGAUUGGAUGAGCCCACGUCGGAUUAGCUAGUUGGCGGGGUAAAGGCCCACCAAGGCGACGAUCCGUAGCUGGUCUGAGAGGAUGAUCAGCCACACUGGAACUGAGACACGGUCCAGACUCCUACGGGAGGCAGCAGUAGGGAAUAUUGGACAAUGGGCGCAAGCCUGAUCCAGCCAUGCCGCGUGAGUGAAGAAGGCCCUCGAGUUGUAAAGUUCUUUUGUCCGGAAAGAAAAGCGCCGGGUUAAUACCCUGGUGUCCUGACGGUACCGGAAGAAUAAGCACCGGCUAACUUCGUG